rfam:Gossypium arboreum cultivar AKA8401 contig_7447_3, whole genome shotgun sequence.
GUGCCUGUAGCUCAGUGGAUGGAGCGUAUGUUUCCUAAGCAGAAGGUCAUAGGUUCGACCCCUAUCUGACGCG